UACAGAGGGUGCGAGCGUUAAUCGGAAUUACUGGGCGUAAAGCGCACGUAGUCGGCUUUGCAAGUCGGGUGUGAAAUCCCCGGGCUCAACCUGGGAACUGCAUCCGAGACUGCAUUGCUAGAGUAUGGGAGAGGGAAGCGGAAUUUCUGGUGUAGCAGUGAAAUGCGUAGAUAUCAGAAGGAACACCGGUGGCGAAGGCGGGUCUCUGGGCCGAUAUUGACGCUGAGGAGCGAAAGCGUGGGGAGCAAACAGG
rnacentral:rRNA from 1 species